GUGGUUACUUUGGUACCAUAAAGGCAGGCAGCUGGAGGACAAAUUCAGCCCUUAUCGUGAGGUCAGAGUUGAGAGAAGUUCAGAGAGAUCUGCAUUAAGCAUUAAGCUGGUUCUGCGUGGACCUUCAGUUACAUGAGCCAGUGCGUUUCCUACCAGUCAAGCCAGUUUGAGUUGGUGUCUCCACCACUUCCGUCCACAGCACCACUAUUGAUUCAGUAUGGAUGAUACAGGUUGCUCGUUCAGAUGCAUGCUUUCUCAAUGUUUUUGACCUGAUGGCCAUAAUAGAAAAAUGGCAAAUCCAAAACAUCCUGGGGUAAAUGGAUAAUACUGCUUGUACUCAGAGGGAAGGGGCCCCAGGGCCUUUGGCAACAUCAGCUCCACAGAGAGCUAAGGGAUUGCUGUCUUGGGAUCUUGUGAUCCAUAUGUGGUGAGUAUGAUAGAUAAUUCAGCAGUUGGGAGGCUCUGCAGUAGAUGAUUUGUGUCUGUGGUUCUUUCUUUCCAGAAAUGUGUGGAAGUUUCACUUCUGGAAGCUGUUGUUCAUUUAGCAAGUGAAAUAUAAAUAUGAGAAUUUUACUUUGUUUUUCUCUUGUAUUGGGCCCAUUAGCGAGCACUGGUUAAAAAUGAGAGUUCUCCAGUGUAAAGGUGAGCCCAUAUUGGAAACCUAAGUUCUAGUUGUGACUGGGGUUUGAAUGAUUGCACUGGAAGCUAAAUCUACUGACCACUGUGCUCUGGCAAGCUUUAUGGAAGGGUAACGACACACUAAAACAAUUUCUGUUUUGUUCUGAAAUUCUUGUGCUUUCAGAUAGGAAGGUCCUGAGCAUCUAUUGCAAAUCAGUUCUCUCACAGCUCUACAUUCUGCCUCCACAGAAUAAUGAAAAUAUAUAUGUUUUGGACUUCAGCUCCCUGAAGACUGGUGAACGAUGAUGGCUGACCUGGGGCGUAUUCACUGAAGACAAAAUGAGACAGGUGAUGCUUCAGACACAUCUUUCUGGGGUACAUUAUGUUCCUGCUGCAAGCCUGUGGGGGAAAGAAGGGA
rnacentral:lncRNA from 1 species